CUUUCCUUUCGGUGUGGUGAGUAAGCGCAGUUGUCGUCUCUUGCAGUGCCGUUGCUGGUUCUCACACCUUUUAGGUCUGUUCUGGUCUUCCGUUCCGACUCUCUCUUUUUCGUUGCAGCCACUGAAGAUCCUGGUGUCGCCAUGGGCCGCCGCCCCGCCCGUUGUUACCGGUAUUGUAAGAACAAGCCGUACCCAAAGUCUCGCUUCUGCCGAGGUGUCCCUGGUAAGUAGUGGAAGAGCCCCUGCACUGGUUGGCUCUGCGGACUCAGCGUCCGUCUGUGACACCCCCUGCAUACUUACCCAAUCCUUUUAGAUGCCAAGAUUCGCAUUUUUGACCUGGGGCGGAAAAAGGCAAAAGUGGAUGAGUUUCCGCUUUGUGGCCACAUGGUGUCAGAUGAAUAUGAGCAGCUGUCCUCUGAAGCCCUGGAGGCUGCCCGAAUUUGUGCGAAUAAGUACAUGGUAAAAAGUUGUGGCAAAGAUGGCUUCCAUAUCCGGGUGCGGCUCCACCCCUUCCACGUCAUCCGCAUCAACAAGAUGUUGUCCUGUGCUGGGGCUGACAGGCUCCAAACAGGCAUGCGAGGUGCCUUUGGAAAGCCCCAGGGCACUGUGGCCAGGGUUCACAUUGGCCAAGUUAUCAUGUCCAUCCGCACCAAGCUGCAGAACAAGGAGCAUGUGAUUGAGGCCCUGCGCAGGGCCAAGUUCAAGUUUCCUGGCCGCCAGAAGGUAUGUAGUGCUGCAGCCCCCUUCUCCCACCUUUCUUUGCCCCAGGCCUCCUGACUCAGUUCUUUCCAUUGCUCCGUAGAUCCACAUCUCAAAGAAGUGGGGCUUCACCAAGUUCAAUGCUGAUGAAUUUGAAGACAUGGUGGCUGAAAAGCGGCUCAUCCCAGAUGGCUGUGGGGUCAAGUACAUCCCCAAUCG
rnacentral:sRNA from 1 species